AUGUGUCCAUACUCGAGAAAAAUGUGUCCAGGAACUUAUGAUUCUGAAUAUCGUAGUCUGAUUCAGGAAGACCCUUUUUUCGAAGAAGAAUGGUCCAGGAUCAGAUGGUUAGCCACUUGGCCAGUGAGGGGUGCUAGCUGUGGGAUGGGCCACAUGGUGGUGAGCAUCAGCUGCUUGCGAAAAUGCUUGCGCAGGACAAGAACCGGCUGGCAUGGCAUGUGUUGGUUCAACUUGGGACUUGGCUUCUGGGCUUUAAAAUUCUUCGCUGGGCGCCGUCAGCUAAAAUAUCAAGGUUCUUAG
rnacentral:rRNA from 1 species